rnacentral:rRNA from 2 species
UGCCAGUGAUAAACUGGAGGAAGGUGGGGAUGACGUCAAGUCAUCAUGGCCCUUACGACCAGGGCUACACACGUGCUACAAUGGCGCAUACAAAGAGAAGCGACCUCGCGAGAGCAAGCGGACCUCAUAAAGUGCGUCGUAGUCCGGAUUGGAGUCUGCAACUCGACUCCAUGAAGUCGGAAUCGCUAGUAAUCGUAGAUCAGAAUGCUACGGUGAAUACGUUCCCGGGCCUUGUACACACCGCCCGUCACACCAUGGGAGUGGGUUGCAAAAGAAGUAGGUAGCUUAACCUUCGGGAGGGCGCUUACCACUUUGUGAUUCAUGACUGGGGUGAAGUCGUAACAAGGUAACCGUAGGGGAACCUGCGGUUGGAUCACCUCCUUA